GUGUUACCUAGCCUCAGUGCAGUGGGCAGCUGGGAGGAGGUGCUCUUGUUCUCCAUGGACUUCACAGUGUCCCAGAACCUUUUGGAGUUGGAGCUACAGGAUGCAAACUUCUGCCUGAAGAAGCUGGCCUUAGCUUUCCUGACUGACUGCGUGUAUUGGUUCCUGACUUCCCUGAACAGUUGCAUAUCACGGGGACUAUUCGAUGAUAUUGCAGUCCGCCACAGGAUAUUUUUGUGCUGGUCGAGGGCAGUCAGGUCUGGAGUGAACCAAGGGCUGUAUCUGUUCUUAGUUCUGCAUUUUUUGAACGGAGCAUGCUUAUCUAAAAUGGUGAGGAAGUUACUUUUAAAGAAUGAUCAGGCAUCCUCAACUGACGGGAUGAGGUCAAUGUCCUUCCAGGAUACCCGGGCCAGGUCGAUUAGAAAGGCCUGCUCAUAGAAGUGUUUUAGGGAGCGUUUGACAGUGAUGAGGUGUGGUCGUUUGACUGUGGCUCCGUAGCGGAUACAGGCAAUGAGGCAGUGAUCGCUGAGAUCCUGGUUGAAGACAGCGGAGGUGUAUUUGGAGGGCCAGUUGGUCAGGAUGACGUCUAUGAGGGUGCCCUUGUUUACAGAUUUAAGGUUGUACCUGGUGGGUUCCUUGAUGAUUUGUGUGAGAUUGAGGGCAUCUAGCUUAGAUUGUAGGACUGCCGAGGUGUUAAGCAUAUCCCAGUUUAGGUCACCUAACAGAACAAACUCUGAAGCUAGAUGGGGGGCAAUCAAUUCACAGAUGGUGUCCAGGGCACAGUUGGGAGCUGAGGGGGGUCGGUAGCAGGCGGCAACAGUGAGACUUAUUUCUGGAGAGUAAUUUUCAAAAUUAGUAGUUCGAACUGUUUGGGUAUGGACCUGGAAAGUAUGACAUUACUUUGCAGGCUAUCUCUAUAACCAUUAACCACAUUUCAAAGUCAUUAUGAUAUAACCAAUACAAGCCUAACCUUCGCAUGCAUCAAACAUGCAUGAUUGUGACAGAAGAAACAUGAAUCUACAUAUUUUCUAAAUCCUCCAUACAGCCUUCACCUGCUGGUGGAUAUCGGCCUUCACCUGCUGGUGGAUAUCGUGCUGGUGGAUAUCGGCCUUCACCUGCUGGUGGAUAUCGGCCUACACCUGCUGGUGGAUAUCGACCUUCACCUGCUGGUGGAUAUCGUGCUGGUGGAUAUCGGCCUUCACCUGCUGGUGGUUAUCACUCAACCUCUUCUUACGUGUCUGUAACACAGACCUGAGCUGGUUCUGCUUGGGGGAGUAGUGGAGGUGGUGGAUACAGGAGGCCCAGACCAGCUUAGCUCUCCCCCAUCCUACAAGCUCCAUCUAAGGGUUCUACUUGGGGGAGUAGUGGAGGUGGUGGAUACAGGAGGCCCAGACCAGCUUAGCUCUCCCCCAUCCUACAAGCUCCAUCUAAGGGUUCUACUUGGGGGAGUAGUGGAGGUGGUGGAUACAGCGCUCCAGGAGGCCCAGACCAGCUUAGCUCUCCCCCAUCCUACAAGCUCCAUCUAAGGGUUCUACUUGGGGGAGUAGUGGAGGUGGUGGAUACAGCGCUCCAGGAGGCCCAGACCAGCUUAGCUCUCCCCCAUCCUACAAGCUCCAUCUAAGGGUUCUACUUGGGGGAGUAGUGGAGGUGGUGGAUACAGCGCUCCAGGAGGCCCAGACCAGCUUAGCUCUCCCCCAUCCUCAGUGGUGGAAGAAGUACUAAACUGUCAUACUUGAGAAAAAGUAAAGAUGCCUUUUAAUAGAAAAUGACUCAAGUAGAGGUCACCCAGUAAAAUACUACUUGAGUAGGAGUGUCAAAAGUAAAAGUUUAAAUAAUUUCAAAUUCCUUAUAUUAAGCAAACCAGAUGGCACAAUUAUUAUGAUUUUUUUUGCUGGAUAGCCACGGGCACUCUCCAACACUCAGACAUUUACAACCAAAGCAUUUGUGUUUAGUGAGUCCUCCAGAUCAGAGGCAGUAGGGAAGACCAGGGAUGUUCUCUUGAUAAGUGUGCGAAUUGGACAAUUUUCCUGUCAAAAUGUAACAAGUACUUUUGGGUGUCAGGGAAAAUGUAUGGAGUAAAAAGUACAUUUUCUUUCGAAAUGUAGAGAAGUAAUAGUUGCCAAAAAUAUAAAUUGAAGUAAAUUACAGAUACCCCCCGAAAAUACUUAAGUAGUACUUUAAAGUAUUUUUACUUAAGUACUUUACACCACUGCCCAUCCUACAAGCUCCAUCUAGAGGGAGGAGGCUCAUCUCGCCCCUCAAGCCCAGCCACCCCUGGUGCCCA
ensembl:lncRNA